UGGGCCCUUUUCACAUCAAAAGUGUAUUAUUAUGUCUGUCCUUCUAUAGACUCUUCAUCAUUGACUAGGAUAGAAUAUGAUUUUUUUUUCUAACACACCUUAAAUUUUUAAAUUUAGUGUCCUUUUGUUACCAGCAUCUUCCACUGUUCAAACAAAGCUGUUUCUUAUGUAGGAAAUUCUAAAUGGCAGCUGGGAACUGUCCAUAGAUGAAACUUGGGUGAAUAAUCAGGUGGUGGCUGCUGAUGCAUUUGAACUUGGGCCAAGUCAGAGAGGAGGGUUCCUUGGGGUAGUGUUGUCCUCUACAUUUCCCCAUCCUGGACCAUAGCCUUUUUGACCUCACCUUAGCUAUGCAUUUGUUAUCAGGACAAUGAGUUGACAAGGGAGAAAAGAAUGGCUGAGGGCUGGUUCAGAAAUACAUGCUUUGAAAAAAAAGUUCAGAUGCCCAAAUAGCAGGGAAUCCAUUUAUAAUCACUUUCCUCCCAAUGGUUCUAUGCUGUCAGUAGUACCUUUAGAGCAUGAUUAUUUUUUCCAUAUUACAGAGGAUAAGUUGAAGCUCCCAGAAGGAUUUCCUUUGCUCCAGGACACUCAGCUGGUAAGCAGGAGAGUUCUGAUUCAACAAUCAGCAGAAUGUAUAACUUGGAUAAUAAAGCAUCCCAUGGAAGGACCUGGAUGGAAUCUUGGAUCUGUCAACUAUUUGCUGUAUGACCUUAGGAAUGAAUUUCUGGCCUCCUCUUGUUCUGACUUUCUCAUAGCAGGGACGUGAGGACAAAGAAACCCUAACUGAGCUUUCUUGGGAAAGAUGAACCCUUCUUUCUUCAAUACAGACUUAUCUUAGUUCUCAGAAAGGCAUCCAGUGUUGGGUAAAGGAGCAGGAAAUGGGAAAACAUCUGCCUAAAAAAGCCAGAGACAAAUUCAAUAUUUGAGACUCCAGGCUGCUCAGACAGUUCAAUGGGGACCCUGAGA
rnacentral:lncRNA from 1 species